UCGGUUGAUCCUGCCGGACCCCACUGCUAUCGGGAUAGGACUAAGACAUGCUAGUCUUGCGCUUUCUAGCUAAUGUGAGAGCGCGGCGUACAGCUCAGUAACACGUGGCUAACCUGCCCUUGGGACGAAAACACCCCCGGGAAACUGGGAUUAAUUUUCGAUAGGUGAAAAAUUCUGGAAUGAAUUUUCGCCCAAAGGAUAUUUAUGUCAUGCUCAUAAGCAUUGCCCAAGGAUGGGGCCGCGACCGAUCAGGUUGUUGGUGAGGUAAUGGCUCACCAAGCCUUUUACCGGUACGGGCCGUGAGAGCGGGAGCCCGGAGAUGGGCACUGAGACAAGGGCCCAGGCCCUACGGGGCGCAGCAGUCGCGAAAACUUUGCAAUACACGAAAGUGUGACAAGGCUAUCCCGAGUGCCAUCCGCUGAGGAAGGCUUUUACUCAGUAUAAAUAGCUGGGAGAAUAAGGAGAGGGCAAGUCUGGUGUCAGCCGCCGCGGUAAUACCAGCUCUCCGAGUAGUGUGGAUGUUUAUUGGGCCUAAAGCAUCCGUAGCUUGCUAAAUAAGUCCCCUGUUAAAUCCACCGAUUCAAUCGUUGGAUUGCGGGGGAUACUGUUUGGCUAGGGGACGGGAGAGGCCGACGGUAUUUCCGGGGUAGGGGUGAAAUCCUAUAAUCCCGGGAAGACCACCAGUGGCGAAGGCUGUCGGCUAGAACGCGCCCGACGGUGAGGGAUGAAAGCUGGGGUAGCGAACCGGAUUAGAUACCCGGGUAGUCCCAGCUGUAAACGAUGCNNNUAGGUGUUUGGGCGGCUACNAGCCGCUCUAGUGCCNCAGGNNGCUGUUAAGCCUGCCGCCUGGGGAGUACG
rnacentral:rRNA from 1 species